UUUCGAAUCAUUCACAAUGGGCGAAAGCCUGAUGGUGCGACGCCGCGUGGGGGAUGAAGGUCUUCGGAUUGUAAACCCCUGUCACCGGGGAAGAAACGCUUCAAUUUAACAGAUUGAAGCCUGACUUAACCCGGAGAGGAAGCAGUGGCUAACUCUGUGCCAGCAGCCGCGGUAAUACAGAGACUGCAAGCGUUAUUCGGAUUCACUGGGCGUAAAGGGUGCGCAGGCGGCUAAGUGUGUCAGAUGUGAAAUCCCGAGGCUCAACCUCGGAACUGCGUCUGAAACUACUUGGCUAGAGUAUUGGAGAGGGUAACGGAAUUCACGGUGUAGCAGUGAAAUGCGUAGAUAUCGUGAGGAACACCAGAGGCGAAGGCGGUUACCUGGACAAUUACUGACGCUCAGGCACGAAAGCGUGGGGAGCAAAAGGGAUUAGAUACCCCCGUAGUCC
rnacentral:rRNA from 1 species